rnacentral:rRNA from 1 species
AUGGCGACCGCCGCCGGCCUCGUGAGCGGGCUGUCGGCGAAGGACGAGAUUAGGGAGGUGGAGAUGGAGAUCAUGAACCCGCCGGAGGAGGCGGCGGAGCGGGCCGGGCUGAAGAGGGCCUGGGGCUACGCGAACGCCGGCAGUUCUCAUGGUUUUAUUGGAGUGACUACUGCUGAAAAGGAGCCAACACUCCUGCCUCAUAACAAUGUCAAAUAUCUGAAGAAAGCUGGCAGUGGCAAUCUUCUACGUCCGGAUAUGCCAGAUACUAAUGCUUGGAGAUUUAGUAGCUCAUCUCCUGGUGGAGAUCUGGGGAGCAAAACCAGAACCCCUACGGGUACCUUUAAUGCUCAAGGCCAGUGCAAGAAAGGAAAGAAUUGCACUUCUCCUCAUGAAAGAGAGGGUUCUGGUUUUGGUAACCUGUGGAGUCAAGAAGAAAAUGCUGGUUCACUCACAUCAGUUGGUUAUGGGAAACAUAGAGGCUCUGAAGAAGGAUUUGAAGCACAAUGUGUAUCCAACUUGAAUGAUCUGCACAACUAUGGGCGAUAUAGGACCCUCAUUCAUUCUUAUGGCGCAGAUCAUAGGGGGCUGGCUCAUAACUCGCCCAACCUAAAUAUUUCAGAGGAGAGGUCUUGCAGAACUGAUAAUUUCUGGACUACAAAGCCUACCCCUCCUGUAAAUGAGCUGGUGCAGAUCUCAGUUCAAGGGAAAAACCACAAACCUAGUCUCAUGGGACACCAUAUUAGUUUGCCCUCUGAUAGCUACUUGGAUGGCAGGGAAACCUUAAGUAGAUUGCAUUUAGAUGGAGCAAAGCUGUUGCCGGAUCUGAAUGUGGCUAAAGCAAGCAGCCUAAGUGAUUCUCAUGUCUCUGAUUAUUGGCAUCGACCAUUUUACUCAUCUGUUUCAUUUGACUAUCCCCAGUAUGGUGAGAAGCGAUCUGCUUAUGGUGGACCAACAGAAAAUCUUCCUCACAAACAUCAGAAAGAACAUAGUUCAAGCUUUGCCUCAUACAGCUCAAACAGUAUAACAGGGUUCAGAAGUCCAGGCCACAAUAGCUCUGUUCAUUCCUUGGGUAGCCAACCUUCUCGAGGAAUUACUCACCUAGGAAUGACGUCCCUUCAUCAGUUAACACCUGGUAUCGAGAAAUUUGGUCUCCAUAAAGAUGUAUAUUUUGACAAGGGCUGUGGUACAUCUAGGCCUGGGUUACGUGCAAGCAGUUCAUGUCAGCCUGAGCACCUUUCCCCAAUCAAGGAUGACCCUUGGGUAACUUCAGUGCCUUUUGUACCUCUUGUUGAGUUUCCCAACAGUACAUCACCUUCAAAUAGUCCAUAUGACCCACUUGCUGACAGUAUGAACCCUCCCAAAGUUGAGAGUGGCAAUAUUCUCAAGUCCUCCAACAUAUCCUGCAGCAUUUCAAGUCAGCACACUGCUGGGAAUGGUGUUAUAGAUGGAGACAUCAACAAAUCAUUGAUUUAUGAUAAGUUGGCAAGGAAUAUGUCGGCAAAAGGGUCAAAUGAGUUUGCAGGCUUGGUUGCACCUGGUAAGGAACGCUCUAGUCUGGAUGGCGAUACUUUGGUGAAAGCUUUUGAAAGAACCAAAGAUUAUUUCCGUAUUCAUUUGGCAGAACAUGUGAAGGAGUUGCUGAAACCUAUUUGGAAGGAAGGCAAACUGAGUAAAGAUGCUCAUAAACUGAUAGUAAAAAAAUCUGUUGACAAAGUUCUUGCUACAGUUGACCUGCAUCAAGUACCAGCUACUAAAGAAUUGAUAACUGAUUAUAUAACCAUGUCUGGAACAAAGAUUGAAAAGCUUGUGAAGGCAUAUGUUGAUAGGCAUGGUACAAGAUGA